rnacentral:rRNA from 1 species
CACGUAGGGCGCAAGCGUUGUCCGGAAUUAUUGGGCGUAAAGAGCUCGUAGGUGGUCUGUUGCGUCCGCUGUGAAAACUCGGGGCCUAACCCCGAGCCUGCAGUGGAUACGGGCAGACUAGAGGUAGGUAGGGGAGAAUGGAAUUCCCGGUGUAGCGGUGAAAUGCGCAGAUAUCGGGAGGAACACCGGUGGCGAAGGCGGUUCUCUGGGCCUUACCUGACGCUGAGGAGCGAAAGCGUGGGGAGCGAACAGG